GUCACUUCACAAUAAGGAAGAAUCAUUGGGUGUUCAUGCUCUAUGCCUGACAUGUGCCUCCUUUCAACCUUGUUAUGACCUCGGGACCUUACCUGUCUGAUA